rnacentral:rRNA from 1 species
UGCCAGCAGCCGCGGUAAUACGGAGGGGGCUAGCGUUGCUCGGAAUUACUGGGCGUAAAGAGCACGUAGGCGGGUAUUCUAGUCAGGCGUGAAAGCCCCAAACUCAACCUGGGAACUGCGUUUGAUACUGGAUACCUAGAGUCCGAGAGAGGGUGGUGGAAUUCCCAGUGUAGAGGUGAAAUCCGUAGAUAUUGGGAAGAACACCAGUGGCGAAGGCGGCCACCUGGCUCGGUACUGACGCUGAGGUGCGAAAGCGUGGGGAGCAAACAGGAUUAGAUA